UUCUGGAUCGCGGCUGACUAAUGCACGCUCAACCCAGGACUCAAGCGAUCGCAGCCAGGUGAGAAGCCUGUACGGUAGCAUAUCAACCUUGACAGAAGGAUGUAGCCAGCCCCCCAUGAACUGCCCGGAUCCAUGUUGAAUAAGAAGGAAAAUUCAGGACAGGCACACUAGGAGCUACACAGUGGUCCGUUCACUUCAGGAUCCUGCUCUAGUUAUAUCUGCAUCUAGUUACGGCACACGAGUGCUUGUCUCAGGGUCUUUGUUAGUAAACUAUCCAGGGCUCCUCCACCACACAGGUUUGGUUCCUCUCAACCCCAUAUUUCCCCUGACUUUACGAAGUCCUAGAAAAGAAGCCUUUUGGAUGUAGUGGAAGAAAACCACCUGGCCCACAGUCUUAAUGAUAACCACAGUCAAGACACCCACAGCUCAGAUAUUUAUUGAAGAUCUACUAUGUCACUCACAAUGCAACACUGCAAAGUAAAAGUUCAGAUAAAUAACUUCCAGCUGGGAAGAUUUCUUCAUCAAAAAUAUCUCCUGUUAUUUUUUCCAUAAAAUGACUUUGAAGUUUUAAAGGCAUCACAGUCAAAGCCUUUAGGUGACAGACACUCUGUGAGGGCAUGCCAUGGACUGCCUAAUUGAUAUUUCAGAGGCUUCUACUUCAAGAUGGUGAACUGAGGCCAAGAAUUUGCCUUCCCUCCUUCCUGAGAUCCUUUUGAAAUGAUAGAAAGGAAUUUUUUAAUGAUAAAAUCAAUAAUAGUGAAGAGAAUAGGAGGGGUGCCAUCUUUGAAGAAAUUUCGACAGAUCUCAGGAAGACAGAACGUAUUUGGCAGAAGGUCAGUACGUCAACAGAUAAACCAAGUGGAGGUGUCUUCAGCCCAGAGUACAUGAGGGGGAGAAACUAAGGCUUGAGGUUAUGUGAGCAGCUGAGGAUGACAAAGUACAGGAGAAUCAGCCAUGGGAAUUGGUUUGGCAAUGGACACCUGACUCGACCCCAGCCAACAAGAUGGUGAGACCCUGGCCAAGGUUUCUGGAAGAUGGCGUGUGAAUGGAGGAGGACACGAGGUUGGCGUUGCCAACACCAUCCUGCCUCUGUGAAGCCCAAGCCCAAUGGCAACACAGCAGUAGAGCAAAGGGAUAGAAGCUACAUCCUGAUGGCAGUUUUGGAAACCCGAACCCCAGCUAUAUGUGAAGCCAGUUUCAUGGGCCAGUAACUUUCUUGCUUGCUUGCUUAAGUCAUUUUGGAUCAAGCACUCUGUCAAGCAUAACCCCCAAGUCCCAACUGAUAUAGCCAUUGGCCCUGGAUUUCCACCCAGCCAACCCCACUCCUCGCCAUGACCUUGCCGUUCUGGUUUCCUAAUUGGCCUGGUUAGGAAGGGCGUGCUCAGGAAGGACUGGUUUAAUGUGGUAUGUAGGGCUAUUCUUCUCAGAGCCAAAGGGAGGGCAGAGGGAGAGGAAACAAUUAACUUCUUACGUUUAGAGUCAUUAGAGUCCUUGAUCUGACAAUUAGCCUAAUCAUAUUUUUUUCCUGUCUUCAUUAGGGUCAUGAACGUUAAAAUAUAGGGAAUAAGAUGCAAAAAUCAGUUCCAACUUCAUAAAUAAUGCUUGUGAUGCAUUUUCGUACACAAAUCUAAUGGAAAUUUAGAAAAUGAACGGGUCUGCUUUGUCAUUAUUCUCUUGUGGGUAUGCCAACAGCUUUGAAAAGUUUUUCAGUACGCCAACUUUAAUUUUAUAACUGAAAACAACAGAGUAGCUUUGAAGCUCAGGUUUAAGUCAUAAACGAAAAUGUAUCUGGUAAGAAGUGCAUUACAUUCUAUUUCUUUAUUAUGAGAAUAUUUAACCCAGUUCUGACUUAGGGGCGCCUGGAUGGCUCGGUCGGUUAGGCAUCCGACUCUUGAUUUCGGCUCAGGUCAUGAUUUCAUGGUUCAUGAGAUAAGAGCCCCGAAUCGGGCUGUGUGCUGACAGCACGGAACCUGCCUGGGAUCCUCUCCCUCCCUCUGUCUGCCCCUCUCCCGCUUGUGCUUGCAUGCACUCUCUCUGUAA